AACGAACGCUGGCGGCAUGCCUAACACAUGCAAGUCGAACGAGACCUUCGGGUCUAGUGGCGCACGGGUGCGUAACGCGUGGGAACCUGCCCUUAGGUUCGGAAUAACUCCCCGAAAGGGGUGCUAAUACCGGAUAAUGUCUUCGGACCAAAGAUUUAUCGCCUUUGGAUGGGCCCGCGUUGGAUUAGCUAGUUGGUAGGGUAAAAGCCUACCAAGGCGACGAUCCAUAGCUGGUCUGAGAGGAUGAUCAGCCACACUGGGACUGAGACACGGCCCAGACUCCUACGGGAGGCAGCAGUGGGGAAUAUUGGACAAUGGGCGAAAGCCUGAUCCAGCAAUGCCGCGUGAGUGAUGAAGGCCUUAGGGUUGUAAAUCUCUUUUACCCGGGAUGAUAAUGACAGUACCGGGAGAAUAAGCACCGGCUAACUCCGUG
rnacentral:rRNA from 1 species